rnacentral:lncRNA from 1 species
UAGCAAGGACUUACAGUACUUUGGUCUGUAGUGAGGACUUGAAAUUUGGCCAAUUAUUUUAAAAUCUGUAAAACAACAAUUUUAACUUUCUCAGGGGAGAGUCUUUUGAAUUUGCCAACUGUGUUUUGGGAAACGCCGCCAGAGAGCUCCAAUGUAGAAACAGCACACACGCGGUCUGCUGGGCAGAGAAACUGAGCAGGGGCUGAAGGACUCAUCGAGCAAUUGCAGUCCUUAUUUGUACUGCAGCUGUGUAGUUCUGGACACAAGGUCAGAAGACAGGGAGUGCCCAACUCUCCUGAGCUCUCUGUGCUCCUCUUUACCUGGGCUGAGGCAGUGGAGAAGAGAACGGGUCUUCCUUCCUCUACUGCAAAAUGUGAAGAUAUCCUACUGGUCCUGCUUAUGUCAUGGGGCCUUAGGUGGUCAUGGAAGAAACAGAUUACGUUACUCAAGCCAGCAGCAGCAGCACAUGCUCACCCCGCUAUCCAGCCAACAUUCCUCAACUCUGACCUGAGGACCACCUCUGGAGAUAAGAGUCCCUUCUUAUCAAUGCUGGUUGGAAUGCACCUUGAAAGUCACGUGAGAGCUUCAGGUUCAGAUGUAGUAAAGAAGAGGGAGUUUUCAUGGUGAAGAACUCAAUGUUGACUUUACAAAUGUACUGAUGGAGAACGUAGUUAAACCUGAGAAUAAUGAGGGCCAAAGGAAAAUCUUCUACCUCUUUCAGCUGUGACUUCUGCAAAGGUAAGAUUGAAAACCCUCAUGAGAAAUGAAAAAGUGAAGAGCUUAUCUGGAAUAUUUCAGUUAAAGAGCCAUAACUUCUACAAUGUAUUGUCAUAUUUGCUUUUUUGGUUUGCUAUUCAAAAGAGUGGGAUUAAUUACAUGUAAUUGCCACCCAGUAAGCUUUAAACAAUUUCCUUGAAAGUGUGAUUGUCUUACCUUACAGUUUGCUCUGCAAUUUCCAGUGGAUUACCUGCAGCUUUCUAAACAGGUAGCCAUACUCUCGCUGUUCACAUCAAGUGGAGUGUUAUUUGCUGGGAUAGUGAUGAAUCAAAAUGAAAUAAUCAUUUCAGUAUGGUAAUUACAUCAACUUUUAUUAUGUUAGUUCAGCACGGUUGCAAGUAUAAAUCUGCUAAAAAGGACAGGAAAAAGAUACAUACACAUGCAAUGUUUUUUAAAAGGCAUAGUCACUUGCUUAUGUUAAAAGCUGCUA